rnacentral:rRNA from 1 species
ACGAACGCUGGCGGCGUGCUUAACACGUGCAAGUCGAACGGGCCCGCCCCUGUUUUUGGGGGUGGGUUGAGUGGCGAACGGGUGAGUAUCACGUGAGUAACCUGCCCCCUGCUCCUGGAUAACUGCUUGAAAGGGCGGCUAAUACGGGGUGUGCCGGCUGGUCCGCAUGGGCCUGGUCGGGAUAGUUUCAUCUUCGGGUGUUUCGGUGGGGGAUGGGCUCGCGGCCUAUCAGCUUGUUGGUGGGGUGAUGGCCCACCAAGGCGGUGACGGGUAGCCGGCCUGAGAGGGUGGGCGGCCACACUGGGACGGAGACACGGCCCAGACUCCUGCGGGAGGCAGCAGUGGGGGGUAUUGCGCAAUGGGCGGAAGCCUGAUGCAGCGACGUCGCGUGAGGGAUGGAGGCCUUCGGGUUGUGAACCUCUUUCUCCGGUGGUGAAGGCCCUGUCCGUUGCGGCGGGGUUGACGGUAGCCGGGUAUGAAGCGCCGGCUAACUACGUG